CCAGCUGAACAAGGUCAGACUUAUGCAUCAGAAGUUAAUGCCAUAUUUGGAGAGACUAGUGCCCUCACUGCUAGGAAUGUUGAGGAAAUGUUCAUUGAAAUAACUCGUAAGUUACCACCAGAUUGUUUAACUAGUUUACCAGCUGGUGCCUCUCUCUUAAGACAGACUGAUACACCACGUGCUAAGGGAGGAUGCUGUGUAGGAGGGGGAGGGGACAAAGGACCAUCAUAAUAGUUAAAGUGUCAAUAAAGAUGAAAUGUCAAGUGGUGCGAUACUAAAGAAGCAAGAAAUUUUUGAAGACACAAACAAUAACACUUCCUCUUAUUUUACUCUUUAGACACUCAUUUAUUA